AUUGAACGCUGGCGGCAUGCCUUACACAUGCAAGUCGAACGGCAGCACGGGGCAACCUGGUGGCGAGUGGCGAACGGGUGAGUAAUGCAUCGGAACGUGCCACUGAGUGGGGGAUAACGUAGCGAAAGUUGCGCUAAUACCGCAUAUUCUGUGAGCAGGGAAAGCAGGGGACCGCAAGGCCUUGCGCUCUUUGAGCGGCCGAUGUCAGAUUAGCUAGUUGGUGAGGUAACGGCUUACCAAGGCGACGAUCUGUAGCGGGUCUGAGAGGAUGAUCCGCCACACUGGAACUGAGACACGGUCCAGACUCCUACGGGAGGCAGCAGUGGGGAAUUUUGGGACAAUGGGCGCAAGCCUGAUCCAGCCAUGCCGCGUGAGUGAAGAAGGCCUUGG
rnacentral:rRNA from 1 species